GCGUGAGUGAGGAAGGCCCUAGGGUUGUAAAGCUCUUUCGGCGGGGACGAUGAUGACGGUACCCGCAGAAGAAGCCCCGGCUAACUUCGUGCCAGCAGCCGCGGUAAUACGAAGGGGGCAAGCGUUGUUCGGAAUUACUGGGCGUAAAGGGCGCGUAGGCGGCUAUCUUUGUCAGGUGUGAAAGCCCCAGGCUCAACCUGGGAAUUGCACUUGGGACGGGGUAGCUUGAGUUCGGGAGAGGAGAGUGGAAUUCCCAGUGUAGAGGUGAAAUUCGU
rnacentral:rRNA from 1 species